UACGACUACAUAUCAGGCAUAUCAAUAAGCGGAGGAAAAGAAACUAACUAGGAUUCCCUUAGUAACGGCGAGUGAAGCGGGAAGAGCUCAAAUUUGAAAUCUUCAAGGUUUUACCUUGACGAAUUGUAGUUUAAAGAAGUGUUUUCUGUCGAGUUUCGGUAAAAGUUCUUUGGAAUAGGACAUCAUAGAGGGUGAGAAUCCCGUAUUUGACCAUUUAUUUCAGCUGUGUGAUACACUUUCAAAGAGUCGGAUUGUUUGGGAAUGCAGUCCAAAAUGGGUGGUAAAUUUCAUCUAAAGCUAAAUAUUGGCGAGAGACCGAUAGCGAACAAGUACCGUGAGGGAAAGAUGAAAAGAACUUUGAAAAGAGAGUUAAACAGUACGUGAAAUUGUCAAAAGGGAAGCGUUUGACACCAGUGUUGUUUUCUCGAAAAUCAAUUAAAAAUGGCGUGAUUUUGUGUUGUAUUGACCUUAAAAGCUUUCUUCACUUUUUUCAUGUCUUUUUUAAUGCACUUUUCGUUUAACAAGUCAACAUCAAUUUCUUUUGUUGUAAAAGGGUCAUUGGAAGGUGGCUUUCUUUUCGGAGAAAGUGUUUAUAGCCUUUGACUCCUGCAAUCGGAGAGACUGAGGUCUGCAGCGUAGAUCCUUCUUGGAUUAGAUUCAUUUGUGCUAAGUUAUAGCUUUUCAUAGACAGCUUGUUGACUAUGUUUUAGUCUUGUAGCUUACUCGCUUAUGUAAUUUUACCUACGCUUAGGAUGUUGACGCGCGUGUGUGCGUG
rnacentral:rRNA from 1 species